UACGUAGGGUGCGAGCGUUAAUCGGAAUUACUGGGCGUAAAGGGCUCGUAGGCGGCCAACUAAGUCGGAUGUGAAAUCCCCAGGCUUAACCUGGGAACUGCAUCCGAUACUGGAUGGCUUGAAUCCGGGAGAGGGAUGCAGAAUUCCAGGUGUAGCGGUGAAAUGCGUAGAGAUCCGGAGGAACACCAGUGGCGAAGGCGACACGCUGGGCCGUACCUGACACUGAUGCGCGACAGCAUGGGGAGCAAACAGG
rnacentral:rRNA from 1 species